rnacentral:lncRNA from 1 species
GGCACUUUGCUGUCACCUCCUGUCUAGCUGAUGCAUUGCAUGCCCUUGGCCUUGUAAGGAACACCAAGCACGUGUCUGUGGGUAGAUGCCAAGAACCCUUCCCUGAGAGCAUCUUGUCUGCUAUUUUACAGAAGAGAUCAUGCUGGGGACUGUUUGUUCUAUGUUCGUUUGAUUUUUGUCUCUGUCUCCUUGUCUCUCUCUGUCUCUGUCAAUGUCUCUCUGUCUCUGUCAAUGUGUCUCUGUUUCUGUCUCUCUGUCUCUGUCUGUCUGUCUGAGCCU